GACGAACGCUGGCGGCGUGCUUAACACAUGCAAGUCGAACGGAAAGGCCCUGCUUUUGUGGGGUGCUCGAGUGGCGAACGGGUGAGUAACACGUGAGUAACCUGCCCUUGACUUUGGGAUAACUUCAGGAAACUGGGGCUAAUACCUGAUAGGAGCUCCUGCUGCAUGGUGGGGGUUGGAAAGUUUCGGCGGUUGGGGAUGGACUCGCGGCUUACCAGCUUGUUGGUGGGGUAGUGGCUUACCAAGGCUUUGACGGGUAGCCGGCCUGAGAGGGUGACCGGCCACAUUGGGACUGAGAUACGGCCCAGAGUCCUACGGGAGGCAGCAGUGGGGAAUAUUGCACAAUGGGCGGAAGCCUGAUGCAGCAACGCCGCGUGCGGGAUGACGGCCUUCGGGUUGUAAACCGCUUUCGCCUGUGACGAAGCGUGAGUGACGGUAAAGGGUAAAGAAGCACCGGCUAACUACGUG
rnacentral:rRNA from 1 species